rnacentral:rRNA from 1 species
UGACACAGGGAGGUAGUGACAAGAAAUAACAAUACAGGGCUUAAAGUCUUGUAAUUGGAAUGAUGGGAAUCUAAACCCUUCCCAGAGUAUCAAUUGGAGGGCAAGUCUGGUGCCAGCAGCCGCGGUAAUUCCAGCUCCAAUAGCGUAUAUUAAAGUUGUUGCAGUUAAGAAGCUCGUAGUUGAAUUUCUGCCUUGUCAUUAAUCUCGCUUCCGAGCGUUUUUUUAUUGACUUGGCAUCUUCUGGAUUUGGUGCCUUCGGGUACUAUUUUCCAGGAUUUACUUUGAGAAAACUAGAGUGUUUCAAACAGGCAUUCGCCUUGAAUACUACAGCAUGGAAUAAUGAAGUAGGACUUUGGUUCUAUUUUGUUGGUUAUUGAGCCAGAGUAAUGGUUAAUAGGAGCAGUUGGGGGCAUUCGUAUUUAACUGUCAGAGGUGAAAUUCUUAG